rnacentral:rRNA from 1 species
UCAUGGCUCGAGGACACGCUGGCGGCGUGCUUAACACAUGCAAGUCGAACGAUGAAGCCGGAGCUUGCUCCGGUGGAUUAGUGGCGAACGGGUGAGUAACACGUGAGCAAUCUGCCCUUGACUCUGGGAUAACUGCGGGAAACUGUAGCUAAUACCGGAUACGACACCUUGGGGCAUCCCAGGGUGUGGAAAGAAUUUCGGUCAAGGAUGAGCUCGCGGCCUAUCAGCUAGUUGGUGAGGUAAUGGCUCACCAAGGCGACGACGGGUAGCCGGCCUGAGAGGGUGACCGGCCACACUGGAACUGAGACACGGUCCAGACUCCUACGGGAGGCAGCAGUGGGGAAUAUUGCACAAUGGACGAAAGUCUGAUGCAGCAACGCCGCGUGAGGGAUGAAGGCCUUCGGGUUGUAAACCUCUUUUAGCAGGGAAGAAGCGAAAGUGACGGUACCUGCAGAAAAAGCACCGGCUAACUACGUG